AGGGCAUGAGGAAGCAGUUGCAUCCAUAAUGAUUUUUCGGAGCCGAGGAAGAUUUUUCACCCACAGACAACACACAAAACUAUUAAAAUAAAAAUUAUUAUAAAAUUGUCAUUAUUUUAAAAAUAUUACUAAAAAGACGGAUAUACUUCGCAUGAUGGAUGUGCCAUUGUUGUAGGUAAAAAGUAUGAAAUUUAAGAUAGAAAGAGUAAUUUAAUGUAUAUCUGUAAUUAACGAUUAAUCAUUGCUAACAAAAAACGAUUCCGCAGAAAUAAUGUUCGGUUAUACAUAUUUUAAAAAGUCGUAAUAUUUAAGAUUUUCGUCAAAAUUUUAUAAUAAAAUUCUUAUAAAAAAAAGUACAUUAAAUUCAAUUUUUUUUUUACCAUUAAGCCCAACUUUCAAUGAACCUUCUGUUAAAUGUUCUAACAAUUUUACCUAGAAUACCUACCGAAUAAAAAUUACGUAUAAAAGUUGCAAAAUGAAAAUCUCUAUAGCAACUUAAAAAUAACUCAAAUGUUUUGAAAAUUUUACUACAUCUUGAAAAAGCAAAUAUAAUUUUUCUGUCCAAAUUUCAAGACUCUACGAAUAUUUUAAACUAAAUUGCAACAAAAAACAAAAUUUAAAAUAAUACAUUUCAUACAUUUUCUUGUUUUCCUACGUUUUUUCCAAACUAUUAUGAAAACCGCCUAAAAAGUCAAAAACUGACCAACUAAAGUACCAACUAGAUAAUAUUUCUUUUCAGAAACGGUGCUACACUUGAAAAUUAGAGCAAGAUUUCUGGUAGAAAUUUUGUACAGUAUUAAAAAAAAUAAAAUAUAUAUAUAUAUGUAUAUACAUAAUCAUUAUCGAAGUACUACUUUAUAUUACUAUGUUUACAAACAGUAUAAUGUUUAAUUCGAUAAUAGCACUAAUAUUACUCGUGGUAAUAUUAACAAAAUGUUAGGUAAUUAGAUAUUUUAAUAGAAUUUGUCAAUAUAGCUUUAAAGAUAAUUUGUAUAAUACUUAAUAUCUAAUUAGUAGACCAUAAUAAUUACAAUGAAUAGCACUAAAAGUUAGUAAAUAUAUAAAUUAGAAUUAUCAAAAGACGUUGUAUUAUAUUUUUUUAAUCUAAUUUUUAAUGCCAUGUUCCACGUAAAUAUCGAUAUAUUUGUAAAUAAUAAUUUCGGUAAGAUGCCACUGACAUGGUAUUUCAAAUUAAACUAUAUUGUAUAAAAUUAAUUUUUUAAGGAUAGUAAUAAGAAUAAGGAUGAUGUUUCACCUACUGAUCGUAUGAAAAAUUGUAAAAAAAUAAUUGGCUAGUUAAUUGUAAAUUAAUUGAAAAACACAUUAAAACAAGUAUUACUAUUAAUAACUAUAAUUAAUCUUUAAUCUAUUUUUUCCCUGGAUAGUCUUUUUAUAAACAACAUUUUUAGAUUAUGUAAAUUACUUUUGAAGAAUGAUUCAAUUUUAUGGUAGGUACAUUAUUCUCUUGUUCAUUAAUUAUGGUAAUAAUUUCUGUUGACUGUUUACUUGAUUUGGAUGGAGGUAUACCACCUGUCAUUUUUUGGUAUUCUCCUAUUAAAGUUGAUAAAGUUUUGACUGCUUUUCUAAUCUCAGCCUUAAGUAAUUAAAAAAUAUUAUCAUAUAAUAUAAGACUGAAGAGAGUUAUAAAAAAUUAAUCAUAAUUAUAUGAAUUUUUUAAACAUAAAAUAUGGUCAGAUUAUGAAAAUUCUUUUGAAGCACCAUAACAUUUCAAUGUGCGAACAAUAUUCUGCUGAUCAUUAAUUUUUUUGUACUGACCUUUCAAAACUAAUAAAUUGUUAACAGCUUUAGCCAAAGCAGCCUAAAUUUAUAAUACUAAUAUCAUUAAAACUUCUUAUUUUAUAGUACAAAAUUACUUAAAUUACACAUUAUUAUUAUGUUUGUUACAUAAAAUGUUUAGACUAGAUAAAUAAAUUCAUGGUUUGAAGCCUAUUUUCUUGUUCUCUAAUUUUUGGAUUUAUUUUAUCAAUUGAUUGUACUUUAUCAUUAUUUUUAAUUUCCUAUAAAAUCAAAUCAUAAUGGUAUGUAAUGGUGCUACCACUAAUAGAAAAAUGUGAUCUGAACUUAGUAUAAAUGGCUUCCAAUCUAAAGUGAAAAAUUAUUUUGAACAUUCUUGUGUACCUAAUAAAAUUUUUUAUGAUUUUGUACAUAUUUUUAAAUGUGUUCAUAAUUGUCUUUAUAACAAUAAACAUUUACAAGCAAAUAAACCUUUUUUAAUGUAUUUUAAAUAAAAUAUUAAUGUUUUUGAAAUGUAUUUUAGCUCAAUUCAGAAUUAGAGCAAAUUUGUUGGAAUUACUUUAGAGAAGUAUACAACAAAGACAUCAAACAUACUGCUAAUUUACGUAUUGUACCUAGAAUAACACCACAACAUCUAAUUUAACAUUAAUGUCAAAAAAGAGAGUUCGCCUUUGCACCUAGGUGUUAAAUUUAUAUAAUUUAUUAUUUUUUAUUUGAAAAUUGGGUAUGAACUAUUAUAACUGUGACCAUUACUAAACAAUUUUUUUUUCCUAAUAGAUUUUUAGCAUAAGUAUGGCUAAAGUUAUGAGGUAUUAUACAAAUAAAGGAUGCCUGAUGUUAAAGAAAUCAUUUGAAACUGCAAAAUUUGUUGUAUUCUGGAACGACCUGUUUGAUCAUUUUAUCAAACUUUGCCCUGGCAAGGGUUAAAACUAAAUGAUAGUCAAGGAUUAAACGUAUUUAUAUCAAAAAUAUAUUAAUAUUUCUCAUUUGUCCAUUACUCUCAUAAUAUAAUAUUUAAAAUGUAUAUUAUAAAAUAAAUAUUUAUAUUAUUUUAGAACUUUAAGGAUGCACUAGUGUACAUUAAUAGUUGGGAAAAUCAGAUGUUAGCAGGGAAAAUUGAUGAAAAAGACUUCCAAGGGCUUGAGUGUGACAUUAAAUUCUACCAUGGAUUUAACCAAAUAUUUACUUGAAUCAUAUGGAUUUGACUAUGUUUUCACUAGGAAAAUGUGUUAAGAUCCUCUUGAAGUAAGAACAAUGUAAAAUAAAAUAUGUUUUGUAUAGUUUAAUUCUUUUUUUGGUUAACUGUUAUUUUAAAUUAGUUCAAAUAUAAAUAUUUGAAAUUAUUAAUUUUAAAAUAUAAUUUUAGUUAAACUUUCUUUUUAAAUGUAUUGAUAAUAAAAAUGAAAAUGUAAAUGAUCAAUUUACUGUUUAUAAUAUACUUGUUUGUUACAUAUUUUUCAGAAGUUCUUUGGCAUUAUUAGAUGGUCAGCAAGUCCUAAUGACCACCCCACUACACCAACAUUCUUACAUUUAUAUAAGCUUCUAUUUGUGUACUCAAUAUAAAAACCCC